GCUCUUCAGAUGGUGGAACUUGGAAAAACUGCAACUUGUAUGAUGCCAUAGAAGGGGAAAGAGCAGGGGUGCCGCCACCGGAACCAAUGCCCAAUGAUGACAUGCCCAUACCUUUCCAAUUUGUGGCUGACGAUGCAUUUGCGAUGAAGCCCUGGCUAAUGAAGCCCUUCUCACAUAGGUCCCAAGUUCAUGAGGAGAUCAUCUUCAGUUAUAGACUAAGCCGAGCUAGGCGAGUAGUGGAAAACUCGUUUGGUAUUUUGGCUCACAGGUUCAGAUGUUUCCUGACUACACUUCCGCAGAAGCCCCAAACUACCAACUUAAUCAUCAUGAGUGCCUGCGUCCUACAUAAUCUGAUAUUAACCAGGUACCCACUGGCAUCAGGAGAUGUAGACCAUGAAGAUCCAUCUACGCAUGCGAUGAUACCUGGUGCAUGGAGAGACGACCCCGUGUUUCACGGUCUGAGAGCUCCGACAGGAAACACUUCUAUCAAGGAAGCUAAGAGCCAACGUGCAUAUCUAUCACAUUAUUACACCUCCCGCGCUGGAGCAGUUUCCUGGCAAGAAAAGAUGAUAACCUAAGCAGAUUAACUAUGACAUUAUUGUGAUGCAGUAUAGCACUAGCUCAAUUCCACAAAAAAUGCCAAAUGACACUGACACAAAUGACAUUUUAUUUCUUGAAUGGUUAUGUAUUUCAACAAGGCCCGACAUCGUUCCAAUAUCAACCGUCUGUUGUACAUCUGAUUUUAAACUUAGGAUAUGAGAUCAGUGUUUUAUAAUGUGUUUGUCUUUAUGUACACAAAAAUUCUACAGUGUAUCAGCAAUUAAUGUUGUCAGGAAAUUAAGGGGUUUUGGUAAGCUUUGUUGUUGAACAUAAACGUGAUGCAGUUGGUGUCGGGGCAUAUGUAGAAGCUUGCACAAACCCCACUCCUCACACGCACGCACACACACACACACACACACAUACACACGAACGCACAUUUAAAGACUGGGUCCGCACCAGAAAAAAAUCUUGUAUUGAUUAAACGCAGAUAAAUCAGACGAAAAACAAAACAAUUAAAACAAAACCAAAAACGUUGAAGUAAAUCGGACAAUAAAUAAGAAAGUUAUGAAUAUAACGCAAAAGUUAUUUAUCAUGCUAACUGGCAACGCUGGGUCACGUGGCAUGAAGUAUGCCAUGCACUUCUCUGCAGGUAUUUUAUUAUAUCUUAUUGUUUUUAAAUCCCCCCUUUGCAACCCUUUAACGCAAGAAGAACAGUUUGGUUUUUUUGGGGGGUCGAUAUAAACACAGGUACAGAUACAUUUAUUGAUUCAACCUUUUGAAUGUUUUGAAAAAUAACCACUCAUGGAUUAAAACGGAUUCUUACAAACAAAAAGUUAUAAUAAGCUAUAGCAGACAGGAAGUGCAUGACAUACGUCAUGACACGUGACCAAGAGUCACGUGUUAAGGCUGUGUCACACCUUUGCGUUUUUAGCCUGCGUCGGCCCAGCGUUUUUGAAAAUUAAAAACGCUUCCUGAACGCGGAUCAGACGGUAGACUGACGUUGGAGACGUUCAGCUUGCGCUUUAUUAAUGAAUUAUUGUAUCCAUUCAUCAAUCAUAUUUUACACAAAACAUCUGUGAGAGAUAGGAAAAACUGGGAAAUUGAAUAUCAUUUAUUGAUUCGAUCAUGCUUUUACAUCGUUUAAGAAGAUGCUAUUAAUAUAUUUAUAUAUGUAAUAGUCAAACAGUUGACGGUGUUAUCUCGUAUGAAUAGGUGCACUUGAACGAAUUGUGCGGAAACUUAACAAUCAUUUUUGAAAUCCAAUGAAAAAUAUCAAGUGCUUAUAGUUACGCAUUUUAUUAAAGGCCUUGAUAUUCACCUAUCUUUGCAGUCUUUGAUUAGCCUUUGAUUUGUCAAUAUGUUACUCUUAAUAUAAACAACUUUACAUGUUUUGUUUUUUGUGUGUAAUAAGAGACUUGUAAUCAGAAGCAAUCAGAAUGCACGAAUUGCGUGUUUUUUAAUAAAAGAAACAUAACCGAGUAGAAAACUUAGGCAUUCUGGAUAUGCUCACAUAAAUGCAAUUUAAAUAACGUGUGAUGAAGAAAAGAAAAUAAGUCUGCAGGAUAACGUUUAGUUUCAUGGUGACUGACAACUGAAUCUCCAAUUUGAACUACCUUAUAGACAUGUUAUAAUUACCAAGAUUUCUCAAUGAUAUUUUGAACACUUUAAAGUUGUAACAAGUGAGUAACAUGAACUAAUCAACUACUAGAACAAAUGUAAAAACGUAGGAACCAAAAAAUCUUCCACUCAGUAAACCUUUCAUUUUGUUUCUUGAUAAAAGCAUCAUGCAUGAGUAUAUGUCAAAAUGUCUAAAUCGAGAAUAUCCAUCGAAGCUCUCCCUGGAACUCAGAACAUUCAAAAAUCUGGAAUAUAUUUUCCGACUUUGAUCAAACUGUCACAUUUUACCCUUGCUCUUCAGUGUGUAGUUCUGGUUUACGUUUCAGAAAAUAUUAUACCUCUGUUCCAAAUGUAUAAAUAAAUGGUUUUCUUGCCGAGUGGGUUUUUAAUAAAAUUCCUUGCAAAGGCAACAACAA